GAAGACCAAGGGUUCCUGUCCAACGUUAAUCGGGGCAGGGUAAGUCGACCCCUAAGGCGAGGCCGAAAGGCGUAGUCGAUGGGAAACGGGUUAAUAUUCCCGUACUUCUUACAAUUGCGAUGGGGGGGACGGAGAAGGCUAGGUGGGCCUGGCGACGGUUGUCCAGGUUCAAGUGCGUAGGCUUGAGAGUUAGGUAAAUCCGGCUCUUUUUAAGGCUGAGACACGACGUCGAGCACCUACGGGUGUGAA
rnacentral:rRNA from 1 species